GAUGAACGCUGGCGGUGUGCCUAAUACAUGCAAGUCGAGCGAACAGACGAGGAGCUUACUCCUCUGACGUUAGCGGCGGACGGGUGAGUAACACGUGGAUAACCUACCUAUAAGACUGGGAUAACUUCGGGAAACCGGAGCUAAUACCGGAUAACAUGUUGAACCGCAUGGUUCAACAGUGAAAGACGGUCUUGCUGUCACUUAUAGAUGGAUCCGCGUCGCAUUAGCUAGUUGGUAAGGUAACGGCUUACCAAGGCAACGAUGCGUAGCCGACCUGAGAGGGUGAUCGGCCACACUGGAACUGAGACACGGUCCAGACUCCUACGGGAGGCAGCAGUAGGGAAUCUUCCGCAAUGGGCGAAAGCCUGACGGAGCAACGCCGCGUGAGUGAAGAAGGUCUUCGGAUCGUAAAACUCUGUUAUUAGGGAAGAACAAAUGUGUAAGUAACUAUGCACGUCUUGAUGGUACCUAAUCAGAAAGCCACGGCUAACUACGUG
rnacentral:rRNA from 1 species